GUUUCCCUUUCCUCCGCCUCCAGCUCCCAGGUUUGUUCCUCAAUCGGCAGCUUGUUUGCCGGCGUUUCUCUGUUCUUGAUACUUCCUCGCCUGUCUGGUUUUUGCUUGAUCUGUUCCUUGGCUGUGAUGAUCAAAAUACCUACCUAUUUUCUGAGGGAUUUCGACCCCCCUGCAGAGAAACCAGUUCAUUCUUCUGAGCCUUCCAAGAUCUGUGCAGUUUCUUGAUUUUUGCGCUCGAUCUUAUUUUGCAACCGAUUCUGAAAAACCAGAUUUGAGUUGAUGGGAAGAUAAUCUCUGGCAGAAAAUCGUUUUUAGUGUUGACCAAAAUUACAGACUACAAUUAUCUGAUCAACUCUCGAAUCUCGCUGAACCUCUCUGUUCUUUCGCCUCUCUGUAUCUUCACCUGAUUAUCUUGGUUUCUGCGUUUUAUCCUUUUUUUGACCGAUUGGGGAAAGUAGAUUUAAUUAAUGGUUGAUGUGAUGAUAAUCUUUCACAGAAAAUCAUAUUUAGUGUUGACCAAAUUACAGACUACAAUUAUCUGAUCAACUCUAGAAUCUCAACCAAUCUGUUAUUGCGUUUCUCGUGAGCUUCGCCUGAUAUCUUUUCUCCUUGCGCUGAAUUUCUUUGGUUACUUUCUUGUAUCCGUGCACAACAAGCCGAUGCUCUGGAUGAUUAGAGGAAGGAAGCAUGGUAAUGUGCACGGAGAUGGACUGAAUUGGUCUGCAUGUCUGCUCGCCCUGACGCCUUCGGGCUUUGAUCUCGCGGGCCUGGAUUUGACCCACACUACCACUUACCCCAAAAAUAUCGUUUAGUUUUCAGUAAUCACCUCGUUUAAUCUGUCGGUAGUCGAUUUCUCUGUGGCCUGUUGGAUUUGGUUAAUUACCUCUGUAUAUCUAUAGGCCUCGUCAAUGGCGCAAACUGUUUGAACAUUGAUCUCAGUACAUCUGGGCUUGGUGGCUAAUUAGCCAGUUACACACAGCAGCCACCACCAUGGCAGCAAUCUCUGUGUGAAUGGUCAGUAAGCCCACCUAUAUCGACUUGUUUUGUUGUGCCAAUUGAAGUAAUGACUCUUUCUUGUGCUCACUUCUUUGAUACAUCAACUCACAAUGCCAUAACUGAACAGUUAUUCUGCUUGAUAGUACAAAUGUAGUUACAGUAUGAUGAUUUCUUCAAUUUAGCAUCAAACUCAGAAUUAAUCAUAAUCUAGUUGUAGUAAUCUUGUUGUUUAUUCGAUUCAAUACUCAUUUUAGAACUUAGUAAGGCAAUAAAUUAGAGUCUCUGGUGCGCUUCUUAUUAGCGUAAUUCAGCGCUGUACGUUGCCAAGAGGAAACUUGGGCUAUGAUUCUGGCAGAAGCCAUUUUUUGAGAUGGCUUUUGCAUUCAACUUGUCCAUACAUAUCUUAGCAAUGAACUGAAUUUUGUUUGUAUAGGUGUUUUAGGGAUGCCAUGAGGUAUCUGAUGCUUGGUCUUUUUUCAUGGCCUUGUUUCUCGUUAGAUUGGCAGACAGCGAGAAGGAAACGGGUUUUUGCGACACUGGCUGCUCUAGUACCAGGAGCUUUCUGUUACUAUACCCCCGUUUACACCUAUCAAUGAAUUGUUCUUUCUGCGGCCGGCUUCAGUAUUUUGUCCAUCAGUGAUGGUCAACACUCGGUAGAUCCCUUGUAUGAUAUAUUAUUGAGCUGUGCUUAUUCUGCAUCUUUUUUAGUUCUUGGUUCUCUGUGAUGAUGAAAACAGAUGACGAGUCUGAUGUAAUCCAUUCUAUUAAACCAUGUGGACAAUCGAGGCAUUUGUCUGAGAGAGCUUAACAAUUUUUUUUAAAUGACUGUGUUGCAGACAUUAUCAGGAAGACAAUUGUUGUCUGAACUAUUUGAUAAUAAUUUCAUUGUGCAUUCUGGGUGUCUUCUUGUUUGCUAUAUUUGACUUAAUGGGUGAAGUGAUGAUAUCAUAACCAUACCACAUUUCUGCAUUCACUGUGAUGAUCAAUUUACAUCAUGCACUACCAUCUGAUCUCCCAUUGCUAUUUCCAUAGUUUAGAUAUUUUUAUAUGAUUAAACUUUCAGCUCUGGUAACAUUUACCCAGAAGUCCACAGUGCUUUUUUCCUUGUAUUUUAUCUCCCUGGUUCUAUUUGUUUCAUUUUUCACAACUUAAAUGGAUUAAAUGGAUGUGAUGAUCCUUUCCCCAAAUGAUCGACUAUGAUUAUACUGUGCGCAAAUGUAAUCCCAUCAGGAUUCCAAGCCAGAAAUCUGAUUCAUCUUUUUCCUUUUCAUAUUUAAUUGUUGUCUUCUGGUGAGUAUUUGAAUGCUAGGCAGGUUUCAUUUCUCCAAAUUAUCAUGCACUAUAGAGUGUUACUCCAAUCGUCACCACAAAUCCAGUUAAGAGUAUUAUUAUUUCGUCAACUUAGCAUCAAACUCUAAAAUCAUCCUCUGUAGUUUCUGUUACUUGUUAUUCAUUUGGGUCAAUCUGAAACUUCUGAAGGCAAUAAAUUAGAGUCUCUGGUGCACUUCUUAAUAGUGUAAUUCAGCGCUGUACGUUGCCAAGAUGUAUCUUUGGGCUAAGAUUCUGGCACAAGCCAUUCUUUGAGAUGGCUUUUGCAUUCAACUUGUCCAUACAUAUCUUAGCACUUAACUGAAUUUUGUUUGGAAAGGGGUAUUAGGGAUGCCAUGAGGUACUUCUUUCAUGGCCUUGUUUCUCGUUAGAUUGGCAGACAGUGAGAGGGAAACAGGUUUUUGCGACACUGGCUGCUCUCAUACCAGGAGCUUCCGGUUACUAUACCCCCGUUUACAUCAAUCAUUUGCUUCUUUUGUUCUCAGUGAUGACCAACACUGAUUAGAUGACCGAUUCAUUCCAUUCCAUUAAACCAUGGGGACAAAAUGAGGCAUUUGUCUGAGAGAACAUGUUAGGAGUUGAAAACACUUUUUUUUCACACCUGCCAUUCUGUAUGAUGAAAACAGGUGACGAGUCUGAUGUAAUACAUUCUAUUAAACCAUGUGGGCAAUAGAGGCAUUUGUCUGAGAGAACAUGUGCUUCUGUGCUAUUUUUUCCGAUUUAUUUAACUUUGUGAUUGUGAGGAGGACAAUUGUUUUCUGAUGAUAAAUUUCUCCUACUCUUUCUGAAAUUCAAAUUGGCACAAAUGGCACUCCCUACAGGGUUUGUGACGACUCACCUUGGAGAUAGCGUUGAGGCAAAUAUUUAGGGGUGAUGCUCAUGUUGUGUGAUGAUGCUCACAGGAGCCUCACAUGUCAUCUUUGUAUCUACUAGUAAGCGUGCAUGUGCAAUGCAUGUCUUGUUAGACUUCAAAUAUGAAUACUUUAAAGAUUAAAUUGUCAAAUCCACAUAUACAUGCAAUGAUUUGGAUGCAUUCCAUAAACUCUGCAAGUUUAAAUUUCGAUGAGGUCCCACAAUGUACUGAGAUUAAAUACAUCACCGACAUCUAUCCCUAUUGCCACUCGGAUAGAAUAGAAUCAACAUCAAAGGCAUCCGACCCUUCACAGUUUUCACCUAAAACAGUCUAAACCCCACUAUAUAAGUUUGAAGAGACACAUCAACUGAAUGUUCUUAUAGAUUUUUCAUUAUAAGAUGGCAAGGUCUCAAAUGAAAUCACAAUUUAAUAUUUGUUCUUCAGGAAAAGCUAGGAAGCAACCAAAAAAUAGUGAGAUAAAAUAAAAACACCAAAAAAUGUGCCAAUAAAUGUGAAGAUAAAAGAUCAUAGUUUUAGCUCAUGUUUUUCUUCAUUCUACAGUUACCACUAAGCUUAAAGAAUAGAUGAUUUCAAGUUCUGAGUACAUUAGUCAGCAGGUCAUCAGCAUUAGCUCAUGUUAUCAAUGGUAACAUGCUACUGUAGCUCAGGUCACAAACAUUCAGAUAAGCAACAUCUACAGUACAUUGAUUCAAAUAAUUUCAUGUAUAUCUUGUCCCAAAAACUUGCACUGUGAUCUUGUGCCUUCUUCAGUCAGAUUGUAUUUUAGACACAAUCUGAAUUUUGUUUGGUUUUCAGCACAGGAACCAAUCGCAGCACCCAAACCAAGACGACACGUGGUUGAUCUACCCGCCGGUUUUGUCUCGCCUCUACCCUUGCCUACUUCUUGGUCAUGUUGUUCUUCGCCCGCGCCUUCAUUUGAUCGGCAUACACCUGAAAUAAAAUUUGUACAAUUACAGACAGCUGGGAUUUGUUUCACAGUUUUGUUAAGAGUAUAAAACUUAGAGCAGAGCUGGCUGAGGGAUGGUGUGGCGGCACCGGCUAGUGCCGCUCCUUGAAUGCUCCAGGCUGUCAUUUGGCUUCAUCUCUGUGCCUACGCUUCUCGUCAACACCGAUGACGACGACUGCAGCGCUGUCGCCGGAGCAGCCGCUUGGGUGUGGAGCUUCAUGUCAAUUCAGCGGAAGUAUUUCCUCUGCCGGAGAUAGUCUACUUGGGAGGGGGUAAAUUGAUUGUAUUUGGACAUCUUCAGGAAAAGGCUUGCACUCCUCUGUAAAAAUCUGUGCAUGUUUCUUUGGAAUGGAACCUACAAGAUGUACAUCCUUUACUAACUGCUCAUCAACACUUCCAGGGAGCAAUUUGUCAGAUCCAGAGAAGCGGCAGAGAGUUCCCUCGGCAUACAACCGAUUCAUCAAAGACGAGAUUCAGCAUAUCAAGGCCAACAAUCCGGACAUCACCCACAGGGAGGCUUUCAGCGCAGCUGCCAAGAAUGUAAUUAACUUCAUCUUCUCUAUUUCUCAACACACAUUUUGAUCGGACCGGGUUUGAUCUUUGAUUUGUUCAAUACUUUGUGUAUUUAUCACCGAUCGUCUGCAUGCAUCAGUGUGCUCAUUUUUGACACAUCCAUUUCGGUAUUUACCACCUCCAUGCUCCCUCCCGAAAAGGUUGUACUGCAGGUUAAUUAGAGAAGACUGCAGGGUGUUAUUUGCAAAAGUGCGGGCGAUGACCGGUUCAACCACCUGGCUACCACUUGUCGAGCUAUGAUAGGCCGGGGACUAAAUCAUCACAUCCACUGCAAGUUGGGGUAUGAUGGAGUUGCACUUUGCAACUUUGGGACUAAAUCAUCACAUUAUGUGCAAGUUAGGGUACCUGAGGUGCUAUUACCUCCAGCAAAAACAUCUUGGAACAAUGUAAUGUGUCCGAAAAAGAGCGAAGCAGUUCACAUGGGCAACUCCCGGCCCUACAAUUAGUCAUGUUAGAUUCCAUUUGUUAUAAUAAAUCUGAGAUGCAUAAUUGAUCUAUCGAGGACCAAGC